rnacentral:lncRNA from 1 species
UAAAUUAAUAUAAUAUAACAUAUAAUAAUAUAUAAUUUAAUAUAUCAUAUCAUAUAAUAUAUAUUAGACUAUAUAUUAUAAAUAUAAAAUAUAAGUAUUUUAUAUUCAUUUUAUAUUUAUAUAUUUAUAUUUUAUAUAUAUUUAUAUAUUUGUUUUUAUAUACAUAUAAUUUAUCUAUAAAUUUUAUAAAUUAUAUAAACUUUAUAAAAAGAUUUUCUAUAAUAAAAUCUUUUUUUAGCUUUGUCUAGCAGAUAUGUAAUUAAUAGAUGAAAAUUUCCUGGCUUCUGCAUGCAGAAGUUGGGUUUUUGGUCAGAAAGUGGACAAAAUACACAGUGAAACUGACAGAAUAAGUGAACAUUUUCAUGGGCGGACAAAGGGAAAGACCAUCUAAAGGAAAUUCAUUCUUCUGCACAGUCUCUGAGAAAGGAAUUUAAUGAGCAAAACAUGGACAGCAGAAGCCCCCAAGAACCUCUCAUGGAAAUUGAUACAGCCAGAAGCAUAUUUCUCUGGGACUCGCAAGAGGACACUUGGACCUUACCAGUGACAGCUCGGAGAUGGGGAAAUGCAAGUGCGGGCCCCACCCUGGCAGUGUGUCGGCAGCUGUUCUGGAAAAUAAAAACACAAGCCGUUUACAGAUUCAGGAAGCUGAAACAUUUUAUGGGCACAGUCAUCAAAGGCAAACACCGCUGUGUUCCUUGACGACAUCUCCUGGAAGCCACUCACCUGGACAAUAGAAGUUUGCGAGGAAACUUAACAGUCUUCAAAUAUUUGAAUCACUGUCACUUGGCAGAAAGACCGGCUACAGGGAGUAAAAGUAGGGCCAGUGGCAGGAGGUGAGAGGGAGGCAAGUAUCAGCUUGGUAGAGGGAAAAAUUUUCCGACAAUCUCACCUGGCCGAUAAUGGAAUGAUAUUCCCUUGAGUAGGAGAAAGAUACUUCCUUCUAUCACUAGAAGUGUGCAAGUAGGAGCUCAAGGAUUCCCUCCCACCAGUUCAAGGAAUGAUUUCUUAAUUGAUUCACUCACUUAACUGGUACUUACUAAGCAUCUUCUAUGUGCUAGGCACAUGGAUAUACUGAUGAAAAAGACAUACAAGAUGCCUGCUUCCGUGAAGUUUACAUUCUAGUGGUGGAGACAGUCAAGAAAGAAGUGAACAAAUAGUUACAAAGAUAGUUGCAGCUAGUGAUGGGUGUCUUAAGCACAAUAAAAGAAGAGUAUGUAAAAGAAUAACUGUGUGU